CCAGUACGUUCUGUACAACUCAGUAGUUCUGAAUUAUUGAUACUUAGGUAUUUACUCAAAAGAAAUGAAACAUACAUCCACAUAAAGUAUGUGAAUGUUUACAGUAGCAGUAUUCUACCAACAAGCAGAAAAAACCCAAAUGUCUCUCAACUAAUAAAUGCUAACAAAUGUCUUUCAACUAAUAAAAAUAACAUGGAGUAAAUUCAUACAAUGGAAUACCAUUUAGCAAUGAAAAGGAAAAAAUACAGCAUAGAUGAACGUCAAAAAUAUCAGUGAAAGAUAUCAGAUAUAAAAGAACACAUUGUAGGAGUCCAUGUAACUGAAUUGUUCAGAAAAAUACAAAUCUAUAAAAACAGGAAGAAGAUAAGUAAUUGCCUAGGAUUGGCAGUAAAGAUAGAGAUUAACAGCAAAUGGCAUGAGGGUCUCCUCAGGAUUAUCCAAAUAUUCUAAUAUUGGAAGUGGUAAUGGUUGCACAACUCAGUAGGUUUACUAAAAAUCAGUACAUUAUCCACUUAAAAGGUUGUGGAUUUUGUAGUUUGUAAUUUAUAUGUCAAAAAGCUAUUUAAAUAUAUAAGGUUAUUAACUGCAGUAUCAAGGGUAGAAAACAAAGAGAAGUCCGAAAUGGUUGGGAGAAUCAGAAAAAAAAGUAAAUACUAGAAGUCUUAAUGUGGCCGAAGAGUUGUUGUGAAAGUGAGAGAUUUGGGGAGUUGGCUUUAAAGUUUCAGAAAUGACAGACUCUGGAUUUAUUUACAAAUAAGAAAAAUUAAAGGAUAAGUGUAUUUCAAACAAUUUACAGAAGAUUCACAAUAGGAAUCNNNNNNNNNNNNNNNNNNNNNNNNNNNNNNNNNNNNNNNNNNNNNNNUGGAAUAUUGGAGUUAUACACAUGCAUGCAUGCUGAGUUGCUUCAGUCAUGUCCAGCUCUUUGCAACCUUAUGGACCGCAGCCUGCUAGGCUCCUCUAUCCAUGGGGUUCUCCAAGCAAGAACAGUGGAGUGGGUUGCCAUUCCCUCUUUACAUAAAGUGAAGUACACCUAUAUUUCACACUGUUUUUUAAUAUCUAUUUUACAGGUUUUCAAAAGUUAAUUUCCAUUCUCAAAAGACACUUUAGUCUAAAUAGCAGAUGUGCUGAGCUAACUGAGGCAAACCACAGAUACUCCUCCUCCUCAUCCCUUUGCAAGAGACAGGUUGGAAAUGAUGUCAGGGAAAAUACAAAGCAUGAAGAACACUUUGUUGCAGGCUAGGUGAUUGAACCGGAUCGCAAUUAAACAAAUGAGAGGAUAAUUUAAAAAGAGCAAAGUGAAUCAAAGACAUAGUUCAUUAAUCUCUUGAAAGUUCCUUUUGGGCUCCACAGGUUAAGACGAUUACAUCUGAGUAGCUAAAGCUCAAGCUUCUUUUUCUUACCACCUUAAGAGAGAAUACUAUAAGCUCCUUGUCUUUAUCCACAGCAAACUCAAAGUUUUAUGUUCUAGUAGAUACUUUUUAAAUAAUCAGUAAACUAGUUUAAAACGAGCCUUUAGUAAGGCAACAAAAUCAUUGAACUCUACAACUUUGGGUUUGAUUUUAUUUCCACCUGAUUGCUCUUUGCCAUGCAAUGCACCUACUACUGAGAGCAUUAAUAAAACAAGUAAUUACCUUUAUUCAUCAGUGACAAACUUUAUUUACAUUGUGUCUAGUUAUAUGGUUACUUUCAAAAUUUUUAGUAUGCUACUUUUAAAAAUAAAUCAGAUCCCAUACUCCCAAUUAAGAGAAGGCAAUAGCACCCCACUCCAAUAGUCUUGCCUGGAAAAAUCCCAUGGAUGGAAGAGCCUGGUAGGCUGCAGUCCAUGCUAAGGGU
rnacentral:lncRNA from 1 species